CAGAGUUGCAAAACUCCCCAAACCAUCGCGAACCCACCCCUAAACAGUUGCUUCGGCGGCGCCCGAAGGCCCCUAGCGGCCGGACCGCCCGCCGGGGACCCCCCAAACCCUUGUUUUUACCAAACGGCCCCUCUGAGUACUGUACUUUAAAAUAAGUCA
rnacentral:misc_RNA from 1 species